AGCAGAGUGGCGCAGUGGAAGCGUGCGGGGCCCAUAACCCCGAGGUCCUAGGAUCGAAACCUAGCUCUGCUA
rfam:Lingula anatina scaffold171, whole genome shotgun sequence.